UACGUAGGGUGCAAGCGUUGUCCGGAAUUAUUGGGCGUAAAGAGCUCGUAGGCGGUCUGUUGCGUCGGCUGUGAAAACCCGGGGCUCAACCCCGGGCCUGCAGCCGAUACGGGCAGACUAGAGUGCGGCAGGGGAGACUGGAAUUCCUGGUGUAGCGGUGAAAUGCGCAGAUAUCAGGAGGAACACCGGUGGCGAAGGCGGGUCUCUGGGCCGAUACUGACGCUGAGACGCGAAAGCGUGGGGAGCGAACAGG
rnacentral:rRNA from 1 species